rnacentral:lncRNA from 1 species
UAAAUGUUCCUGCCAUUACUUAGUGGGGCACCGCCCCAGAACCCAGCAGGGUGUAUGCUAGGACCAGAGACUGGAGUGGAGGCACCAAGCUCUACAGAGGCAGCCCUCGCAGUCAGGUGCUCAGGGCUCUCGCCCAGGAGUGCCAGCUUGGACGAGUUGGGGACACAGAGGCUACAAAAAGGCAUGCCAGUGACAGGAGCAGACUGACGUGCAGGACAGACGUGCAGACAGAGCAGAUUGCAGACCUACCGUACGGGCCGUAUGUCGGCACUGCCCGAGGCCAAACCCAGGGCAAAUGCAGAGUAAAGGGCAGGGAGAGACGCCGGAGGGACAGAGAAGACAAGAGAUGGCUGAGUGAGAACUGCCUGCUCACCCCAGG